UGUGAAACACACAGACAGGAUGUUCCAACAUAAUAAUAAAAGAAUGUCACCAAGUAUAGGGUACAUCGCGUAUACAGGUUAUUCCAACAGAAUAAUAAGCAAUGGAAUAAUAACAGUUCUCUUCAUGAAUAAGAAAGAAUAACACCCCUGACAUUAGUAGGAGACUGAAUACUGCAGUAGUGUAGUAACAGAAUACUCUUCUUCUUUCUCUCUUAUUCUCUCUAUACUUUCUCUCUCUAUAGCUUGAAUGAAUUCGUGAAAAAUAAUGAAGCACUAGGCCUCUAUUUAUAGAAGAUUUCUAGCUUAGCACUUGCCAUUUGAAAAGGCAAGUGGCUUGACAACUGGUGAUGUGAAAAGAAAAGUGGCUUGAAGCCUGUAAUGUGAAACGACAAGUGGUUCGACGCCUAUAAUAUGAAACGGCAAGUGGUUUGACGUCUGGUAAAUGUAAUUACUAUUGACGAAGGUAAUUACUAUUGACGAAGAGACUCUUAGAUGAUGACAUAUGGGCCCCCCAUAAAAUAACCAAACUUACCACAAACGUCUCAUAAUAGACUCUUUAUAUACAUCAAGGAUUGAAUAAAUAUUACCACAAAUCAUUUUAUUUUUAAUCAACACAUAUUUAAUCUUUCAACAAUUAUUAAUCAUUUAUAACUUGUCGUCUCAAUUAUUGAUUUAAUAAUAUAACAUAUUAUACAGAUGAUACUGUGACAAUAAUUGAAUCAAUAAUAUAAGAG
rnacentral:lncRNA from 1 species